GAGAGUAUAGCUCAAUGUUAGAGCAUGUGCUUCACAUGCACGAGGUCCUGGGUUCAACCCCUAGUGCCUCCA
rnacentral:tRNA from 1 species